GGAAACUCAAUAACUACCAAAAUAUGUUAGUAACAUUAUAGUAUAGUGUAAGUAAUUGCAAAAUAUUUUUUCAAAAGAUAAAGGCAUCCAUAAAUUGUAAAUUAACAUCCAGAAAGUAACAUUGUAACCGUUUAACAUCAACUACAAAACUAAGAAUUAGUUGUUUCAAUGCCGACUAUUAUAAAAUAAUGCUACUCUAAAGUAACAAUUGCAUUUUCAUCAAUUGUUUGGAGAACAAUAUUCCUUGUCCGAGGAGGAUCGCCAUUAUCACUCGUGUACCCUUCGAUUGCCUUUGUCACUCCGUAAUGCCACAGUAAUGAAGCAUAAUGUGCACGUUGACUUCCAGUAUCAAACCCACAUAAAUGCACUUGCUGCCCUUCACUUAAUAUUUCUGCAUCAAGACGCCACAGUCCCUGAUUUCAAAAAGAAAAACAAUGAAGUAAUAGUACGUUCAAUAAUCAUGACAUUAUUAUACAUGUAAAAAGAAAACAAUCUGACAACAGUUACACCUGUAUGAGGGUAACUUAUACAGGUAUGAGGGUAACUUAUCAGACCCUAAAUAAACAUUAGUUACACCUGUAUGAGGGUAACUUAUACAUCUAAUAAUUUAAUUCAAAUCCUAAUUAAACAACAGUUACAUAUGUAUGAGGGUUACUUAUAUAUCUAACAAUUUAUAUUAGACCCUAAAUAAACAACAAUUACACAUGUAUGAGGGUAUCUUAUACAUCUCAAAAAUAAAAUCAGAACCUAAUUCAACAACAGUUAGACAUGUAUGAGGGUAGCUUAUACAUUUAAGAAAUAAACUGCUAUAAUGUAUAAUGUCAUAAUACAAAUUUUCAAAUUAAACUAUGUAUGACCUAUAAUCUUGUCUGAAUGUAGAAUGUCACCUUAUAAAAUAUUAAUACUUUAUAACUGUUUGAAUUUUCAGAACUGCCAAUGUAUAACAUAUUGAAAUAUAUUUUAGAAUACCUAUAUUAUACAUUAGUGGGACAAAAUAACUUCUGAUCACUUUGAAUGCCAGUUAUAAUUAAACAUAAGCUAAAUAUGUAUAAUGGGGAUCAUACAUAACGAGAAAAUCAGAAACAACACAUAGCAAUUAUAUAUAUAUUUAUAAGAUGAUUAAACCAUAGUCUAACAUAUCUAAUUAUAGAUAACCUAAAUAUAUAUAAGGAUAUUCAUACAUAUAUAUACACAAUAAGCAAUAUGAAACAGUUAUCGUUCCAAUAAAAAUGACAAGUCAGAUCUUUGAUGAAAUGUCCAAUUUCAAAGAUCCGACCUGAACUAUACCCUACCCCACCUACCCUAUACCCUACCCCUACUACCCUAUACCCUACCCCUACUACCCCAUCCAUGUGAGCUCCUCACAUUUCUUCUUCACAAAGAAAGACUACAACAAAAAUAGAAUAGGGAUCCACAGAAUUAUUCCGUUUUUCCAUUCUUGAAUGAAAUUCAAUACAUACGGGGUCCAUCAAUUCACACAAAGAAAAGACUUUACAUAUAAUAUAUGUAUUUAGCUACUGAGGAGGGGAGCACAGACCAACCUCAUCAUCAACGCACUCCAAUUUCUUUUUCCUUCUUCAUAAUACACCCACAGUGAUACCCCUAAUGUUCAUCACAAAUACACAAUAAUACACUUAGCCACACAUGCACGGUGAAGAGGAAGAGAGAUUCGAGUUAGGAGAGAUUGACGUAGGGAGAUCGUGAGAGGGAAAUAGGAAGAGUGUUGAGAUAGUCCGGCGAAGUAUCGCCGGAAAAGGCAUUUCACUGACGAUUCAUGUCAGUUCCGGUGAGCUUCUGUCGAGAAACGCCCCCUUGGAUUGGCAGCUCAGGUUCCGUCCUAUAACUCACCAAAAAUCAGUAACCAAAUCGAUCAUUAGUCUCGAUUCCUAUGAAAUUUCACCGAAAAAAUGGAACAGCAUCAACUCUGACCACACUUACCCCGUCUACUCCAAUUUUUCGGUAAAAAAUAGAUGGAAAAUGAUCGAAUUUAGGUAAAACGUAAUUCGAAUUUGGAAUUCAUGAUUCAGGGUUCGUAUUGAGUUUGUUUGCGCUAGUUUUAAAUCUAUCCCGGUGGUAUUUUUGGAUAUCGAGUUGGAGUUUAUUGGUCGAGGUCGGGUCAAGGCAUUUCGGUCGGAGCUCUAAUCAAAUACUUUAAUGGAUUAAAAUAAAAGUAACAUUGAGGUCCAAUUCUAUCUCUCCUGUUUUAAUUUUUACGUUAUCAUGUGUUGACACCCAAUUUUUGCUCUCCGUGCCUAAAAUUAACGUCUUCAGGCUUCUUGAUCAUUAAAGGGCACAAAAUAUAAUUUUCACAUCUUUUUUAUAAUUGUUGACAAAUUAUUGAUAAUCAUCCUUACUUUAGAAUUUUUAUCAAUUUGUUAUCGUAUUUUUACUUUUCAUAAUUUAUUAAUAAUCCUCCUUAUAUUAGGAUUUCUAUCAAUUAAUUAUCGUUUUUAACAUUUUACAAUCAUCUGUACACGUACACGACAUCACAUCACAUUUUUUCUUAUCAUUUUUCAAAUUAAUUAUAUUUUUUAAUAUUUUAUUUUUUUAAUUAUAAAUCAAUUUCUGCAUUCUUUUUUACAGUUCGCAAAUGCUAAGUCGAAUCAAUUAAUUUUAUACAGUAUAAUAAUUCAAAGUCUUGUCGCAUUCGACAAUAACCACACGAUAAUGUCUUGUCACAUCCGACAGUGACUACACAUAAUGUCUUGUCACAUCCGACAAUGACUACACAAUGAUGUCUUGUCACAUCCGACAGUGACUACACAUAAUGUCUUGUCACAUCUGAUAAUGACACUAUCCUUUGAACAAUAACUCUAUCCAUUGAUCAAAGGAUAAACAUCCUUUGGUAAAUAUCCUAAGGAUCAAAAUGUGUGCUAUUAAGAAAAGUAGGGACACCUCUUUAUCCAUUGGAUAAUAAGGGGUGUCAAUUUUCAUUAUAAAUAGUGGAAGGUGGAAGACAAAUGUCACACACAUUUUUUGCCACCCACUUAUUCAUUUUUUCUCUCUACACACACAUUUUCAUAUACCCACACAUAUUUUUUCUCUCUCUCAAAUACAUACACAAAAAAAAAUACAAGAAAAUAUCUUUCCUCAUUUUUCAUUCUCUCCCAAAAAUCACAAAUGCAUAUGCAUAUUUUUUAAUCACACACAUUAUAUUCUUCUUUCUCCUUUUUCUCUCUCUAUAACACGCAAAAAAUACACAUAUACACAUAAAAAUAAAUUAAAUUUUUGCUCCCUAUUUUGGUGAAAUUUCACCAUUUUUACUAGGGAUUAUGUUGGUUACAUUAUAUAUAUAUAUUUCUCAAGUGUUGUUGUUGCUAUUCAUAUUUUCUUACUGUUCAUGACCGAAACUUUGUGUCCCAGUUACUUUCUUUCCUUUAUCCAUUUCCAUCAAUCUUCAUUAUUUUUUUUUUGAGAGUUUUGUUAGUUUAUAUUUUAUGUGAAUUUAUUUUCGUAUUUCUUUAUUUAUAGAUUCUUAAUGAUGGUUAUUGUCACUUCUCAGUGAAUGUUCAGAUUUUUCAAUCAUGUUUGAACUAUUUCUAUUUUAUUUCAUUACUCUGUUAUACAAUUAAGAAUUUUACUCUAUUUUUGUUAUUUUCAAUUUCUUCGUCAUGGCUACAUCAUUUUUAUUCAUUAACUUUGACCUUUUGUCAUUUUAUUAUUUUAAUCAUUGAUAAUCGUUUGAAUUACUAUGUAUGAUUUUGAUAUGAGUUCAGUGACUUUGUUAAUCAAAUAAACAUAUUAGUUGUAAAUACCUUUUCUUUUCAUGACACAUGAAAAUACAUUUCUCUUCGUACGUCAUAAAAUACUUUUCUUUUUCACAUGUAAUUUAUACAUUUUAUACAUAUCUUUUACAUGUUUUUAUUUAUAUAGUUAAUAUACAUAUACUUUUACAUGGUUUUAAACAUUUAUAUUUUUUUCAAAGAAUUAUUUUAUAUUUAAUACACAUACACUUUUAUAUUAUUUUAAAUAUUUAUACCUCCUCCCUCAUUGAUAAGUUUAAUCUAGCCGGUACCACAUUUGUGGAUCCUGAAGGGUGCCUAACCCCUUCCCUUCGGGAUAAUUUGAACCCUUACCUAGAGUCUCAAUAGGUUUUCGCAGACUAAAACAUUAAUCAUACAUAUUAACAAAUAAAUAGGUUUCCUUGUUUUCCUUUAAAAAUUAGGUGGCGACUCUAUACAAAAUUUCAAUUCUUUAGAGCCCAUUAAGUCAUGUUUUGUUUGACCUUGGCAAAAAUAGGGCAUGACAUCGUGAAUGAUUUGUGUGUUUGGUAUGUUUAAAUCAUGAUUGUGUAUUGGUUGAUGUUGGAUUUGAAAUUUUGAAAAGUUAAUUGAUAAUUGAAGCAUGUGUUAAUCAUUGAUUGAUAAAAAUGAAGUUGGGGGGCUGGAAGCAAAAUUGGUAAAACUGAAUAUUAUGGUAUUUUGAUUCAUUGUUGAUGUUGAAUAUGAUAUGUAUCAAGCGGGUAGGGAAGCAUUAGGCUGGUUAGGGAAAUUUAGAAUUAGUGGAUUGUUUGAAAUAUGUGUUGAAUGUCUUAUUUACCGAAUUUGAAAAGUGUAUUCAUUUGGCAGGGGAAUGCCCCGAGGUAUUUGUAUUUAUUCACUGGGGAAUGCCCUGACGUACUAUGUUGGCAGAAGAUGAUCGUGAUGACGGCCCGAGGCAUCGGGUAAAGCAACGGAGUUUAGCCUAGGACUAGUUUAGAAUAGGAUUUAUAUUUUCGCAUUUUUCUGUUCUUGUUUUGUAAUAAUUGGACAGGACAUUAUGAUUUUGGAUUUGUUUUUUUUGUUGUUGGUUUGAUUGAUUGUUUUGUGUGUUUUAUAUGAUUAUACAUUCAUAGUGUCAAAUUAGCCGAUAUUAUCCAUCAAGCGACCAUGGUCAAACCACGGGAUCAAGGGGUGCCUAACACCUUCCCCUCGGUCAACAGAAUUCCUUAGCCGGAAUCUCUAUUCGUAAACUAGUUUUAAAGAGUUAAAUCGGUUUGAAAAGGAUAUUUCAAAGGUGACUUGGCACACCAGAUUAUGCCAAGUGGCGACUAUGAGUUUUGAAAGUAUAAAUAAUCCUUUCUCGAAACAAAUUUUCACCUUUUAUCACUUCAAUAAUAAAAACCCUUUCAAACUUAAAAUCAUUAAUCUUUUCGGAGCUAAAAAGGGGUGUGGCAGCUCUUUUAUCUUAACUCACAAUCGUCUUAUGGUGCUUAUGAGGUUUUUCACCAAUAAGACUCUCUUUUUUAUUUCUCUCAAAUUUCCAUCGCCUUAUGGUGCCCGUGAGGGUUUUCACCAAUAAGACUCAUCUUAUUUCUCUCCUGAUUUCUUAUGCAGAGAAAGACGAGUAGUUCCCAAAAUGUGCCAUCAUAUCCAUUGCACGUUUAGCCUUAACAUUCUCAAAGAUUGAUCUGAAGGUUUUUCUUUGGUUGAUUCUGAUUUUUGUUUCUUUUUUUUUCUCUUUUCUCUUUGGGAUUUUUUUUUUCUGACCCUAUUUUUGACACUCUUCUCUUUUCUUUCCUUUUGGACAUAUUUUUUUUUCUUGACACUUUUUUUUUGAGUUUUACUGACUCUAUCUUGAUUCCAAAAGAGAGGUAUGAAAGAAAAUAGGACUAAAUCUCAAAUGGGGUAAACAAAGGAUGACAUAAUAUUUGGAUAACGGAAUGAAAUGUCUUCUUCAUAUCAAUCCUUAAAAAUACAAGUACAUAUCAUGCAAUAUGGAAGUAAAAGAUGAAGAUCAUUUAUGACAUCUUUUGCAGCAUUAACUUUGACUGAGUCUGUGCGUCACUAUUUCUUCUGCGCUUUUCUAGCAUACAACUCUACUUUUGUUGCAUAUUCCUCACAUUAAAUGACUCAUGAUUUUGUGGAGCUGAUUUUUGUUCUGUUCACGCAGCCACUAUUUGACCUAAUUGAGAUAUAUUUUUCAAUUGAUGACCAAGUUAAACUUAUGAUUCUCAAAAUAAUUGCCUUAAUUUUUAAAGAAGGCUUGAACUUGUCAGCAAAUGUCUCAGCACUUACUUAUUUUCUCAGAUGCUCUCUUUUCUAACUUUAACCCUCUAAUUCAAUGUUCAUGCUUAAACUGGAUUUUAAGAUCUGGCUAAAAAUUUCACUAGCAUGUCAUAUCACUAAAGUCAACAUAAAAUGUACUAUGUAAAAAAAACACACAUAUUUAAACCACAAAGAGAAAUGGGACACUUCAUUUAGCUGAAACAAAAGAUAGAAGGGUUUGAACAUAAAUGACAAAAGGACAAAAUAAGAUAGAUCCCAAACUACAACCCUGAAAUAAUUCGGACAACAAAAAAUAAAACAAAAUAAGCUACCAGACCUCUUCCUAGUAGGGAGAGGGGUGACUUCUCAAAUGCUCAGCCUGACAUCUUAGCCACUUGUUUGCAUAUCAGUAUGACUAAAUCUUUCCUCACUGUCAAUGUUCUGCACCAUAAUUGAUUUAUCUUCAAUAAUCUUUUCAAUUUCUCUUUUCAAAGCACGACAAUCUUCAAUACUGUGACCCUGAAUAUCAGAAUGAUAGGCACAUCAUACAUUAGGAUCAAAACUUUUUGAAUGCAGGUUAGGAGUAUACCCAAGGAGAGGAGUGAUCAUGCCCCACUGUACUAAUCUCUUGAAUAAACUAGCAUAUGACUCUCCAAUUAGUGUGAAGCUAUCCCUCGACUUCUACCUCAUUUCAUUAUUUGUUUUGGACCAAAACAUGGCCUAGAAGGGCUUCGGUAUGUUUGUGGAGUUUGAGUAUGACCCUGAGGAGUUGGUGCACGCCAUUGUCGGUAAGAAGGGAAUUGACCAUAGGGUUGUGCAUUGUAUAUUGGAUAUGGAGGUGGGGGAAUAGAGUAUAAUGGAUUUUUGGAAAGAUUUUGUGGAGCUUGGGCAUAAAAUUGGGUUUGAGCCUGUGGGUAACGAUGGUGUAGUCCUCUUGCCCAUGCCUGUUGUUCAACUACAAUGGCAAAUGCAUCUUCCUCAUACUUUCUUCCUCCGAAACUUCCUGAACCUUUUUGAACUGCUUGAGUAUUCACUUUCAAUGUUGCAAAACUCACAAUGCGGCCGGUCUUAAUUCCAUCCUCUAUCAUCUCCCCCAUUUUGAGGACCUAAAUAAAUGGCUUGCCUAAUGCACAUAACAAGUGUUCAUAAUAUGUUUAAUCCUGUGCUUGAAUAAACACCUCUACUAUCUUACUUUCUUUCAUUGGCGGUUUCACCCUAGCAGUUUGUUCAAGCCAUCUAAUUGCAUACUCUCUGAAAGUCUCAAUACUCUUUUUCUUCAUGUUAGUUAGGGAUUUCUCAUCAGGAAUCAACUCCACAUUGUAUUGGAAUUAUUGCACAAAUUCAUUAGCUAGGUCAUCCCAACUAAUCCACUUGUCGAUGUCUUGGUCAACAAACUAUUCCGAAUAUAGGCCUGAAAGACUCUCAUCAAAAUAUGCCAUGAGUAAUUCUUCCUUCCCCCCAGCACCCCUUAGUUGGUUGCAAUAACGUCUCAAGUGUGCUACAGGAUCGCCAUGUCCAUCAUACUUCUCAAACUGAUCGCCAUGUCCAUCAUACUUCUCAAACUUCGGCAUUUUAAAACCAAAAGGAAGAUAAACCCAUAGAAACAUGCACAAAUCUUUAUAUGAGACACUUUUGUACCCCCCAAGUCCCUAGAGGUCUUUCAUAGCCAGUUUCAAACUUCUCAAUUUUCUGAUCAUUUUCUCUUGUUCUUAUAAAAGGCUUCUCAGUUGUAAGAGGAAAUUCAGGCGGGUGAGUGUAGCCAUAAGGAUUAGUUGACUUAAAUAUGGGCUCAAUAGCAUGAUGUUGUUCAGCAAAAAUAUUCAAUACAGGAUCUCUCGCAAAGUGGAGAGGCAUAACUUGUGGAUAAACCUCAAAAGUAGGAACUUCGGGUGGGGGUGGUGCUACAAAAACAUGAACAGUGGGUGGAGCCAAACAUAUGGUAGCUUUGUGUUGAGGAGUGAGGAAAUGAAUAUUGGAAGGGUUUGGAUAGUGUUUCCCCGGAUUAGAUCCUGAUGUAUGUGGUAACGUGUCAAUAACAAUAGGAACUUGUGCAUGUGACAAUGGAGGCAAGCUAGAAAGAUAUUCCAGAUUAUCAGUGGGAAAUGGAGGAGGCGGCAACCCACUAGCCCAAGAUCGAUGCAUUUCUAUCAUUUGUUGCCUUAAUUUCUGAAUCUCUUCAUUAGCUUCCAAAUUCUCAUUCCCAAAACACCUUAUCUGAUCAGUGACAACAAACUCGGUAUCCUUGUUGGCCAUAACUUUCUCUGUGACUUGGUGCAAUAUGGAGGACCAGCCAAAAUGCCACAAACCAAUCACCUUAAACUAACUGAACAAGAGAUAGCAAAUGCGUUAGAAUUCAACACUUUUUUUUCAAAACCCUUUUUUUUAAAAGGUCACCGAACCCAAGAGGGGCGCCUACGUAUCUAACUCCCGAGAGAGGAGAAUCAGGUGUGCGUAGUUCGUGAAGUCUUGCCAAAAUGGUCAACUAAACUCUUUUUGCUUUUUUUUCUUUUUCUUGAAACUUUAAAAAGAAAAGGAAAUAACAAAUUGUCAAAAGAAUUGACGAAAAUCUUUUUGCAUUUUUCAAGUUUAAAAUUCCUAUACAAAAUGAAACCUAUGAUUACCAGAGAAAAAUCUUUUUGGGUUUUCAAUUUUGAAUUUCAUAUGAAAAUGAAACUUGAACCUAUUAAAGGAAAAAUAUUUUUUGUAGUUUUCUUUAAAAGAUGUAUAUGAAGCACCUACUCUAAUAAAGAGUGAAGAAAAUCUUCUUUUUUUUUUGAAUUUUUCAAAUAAAAUCUCUGAACCAACAAUAGGCUGCCUACGUAUCUCACUCCCGAGAGAGGAGAAUCAAGGAUGCGUAGUUCGUCCAAAUUGGACAAUUAAGGAUUAAAACGAACUAAGACUUGACUUGAGAGACGUGAUUACAGACGGACGAUAAGAAAUAAAAUCUUUUUGGGUUUUCAAUUAGACACUUCACACAAAACUGACACCAACAACAAUGAAAGAGAAAAAAAUUAUUUUGGCAUUUUCGCUAUAUGAAAUGUACAAAACUUCUACCAUUUUUCAAUUUCUUUUAUAAAAACUGCUAAAAUUUUUUUCCGAAAAUUUCAAAUUAUGAAUGCAUGCUAAAGGAGACAAAGUGAGAAAUCUUUUUGAUGUUUUGAUUUUUGAACAAAUGAGUGCAGAAAAUAAAGAAAUCUUUUUGAAUUUUUGAAUUGUGAAAAACAAAAGCCAUAAAGAACACUAAAAGCUACGAAACUUUAUUUUUAAACGGUUUCUUGUCUACAUACUUUAUUUUUAACACAUGUUUUACCCAAAUCAGUCCGUCAAAUGACCACGUUACCUUCAAAGAUGCAACAUUUAACACGUAGGGAUGCUUUAGAGGCAGGUCUCCUACAAAGGGCCAAAUGGGUCCCGCUAGGUCUUCAAUAUGAUGCACAUAAGCAUGGCCUAAAGGCUGACUUACGUUGGGGUUCACCAACAAGGCUGUUCGGAGGAGCGUAUGAUCGAUAGUGGCUGCUUUGCUUUCCAUUUACUCCAUAACACUGACGGCUCCCCCCCUAAACUAAGGUUGACUCAACUAGAGGUCGUGUACAACACGUGUACUACAAACUUGUUGCAGAAAGAAUGACUCGGGUUAUGCACAUGAUGCCAGAUAUAAAGCGGUAAUACAUAAGAUAAAAACUGUAAACAAAGAGCACGUAGGCACUCAACAAUGAUAAUACAAUAACACAAAACAAUACAAACAAAAUGUCUAUACACUUAUAGUGCCAAACUAAGCCGAUACAACUCCAAAAUAAGCUCGAAUUCUGAAAAGUCCCCAGCAAAGUCGCCAGAGCUAUCACACCCCUUUUUCGCUCCGAAAAGAUUACAGAUUUUAGACUCGAAAGGGUUUUUAUUAUUAAAGUGACAAAAGGUGAAAAUUUGUUCCAAGAAAGGAUUAGUUAUACUUUCAAAACUCAGUCUCCACUUGGUAUAAUCCAGUGUGCCAAGUCUCCUUUGAAAAUCCUUUUCAAAAUGAUUUGACUCUUUAAGACUGGUUUGCGAACAGAGAUUCCGGCUAAGGAAUUCUGUUGACCGAGGGGAAGGUGUCAGACACCUCUCAAUCUCGUGGUUCGACCAUGGUCGCUUGAUGGAGAAUAUCGGCUAAUUUGAAACUAUGAAUGUAUAAACCACAUAAAACACACAAAACAAUCAAUCAAACCAACAAAACAAAACAAAUCCAAAAUCAUAAUGUCCAGUCCAAUUAUUACAAAACCGGAACAGAAAAAUGCAAAAAUAUAAAUCCUAUUCUAAACUAGUCCUACACUAAACUCCGUUGCUUUACCCGAUGCCUCGGGCCUUCAUCACGAUCAUCUUUUGCCAACAUAGUACGUCAGGACAUUCCCUGGUGAAUAAAUACAAAUACCUUGGGGCAUUCUCCGGCCAAAUGAAUACACUUUUCAAAUGGGGCAAACAAGACAUUCAACAAAUAUUUCAAACAUUCCAACAAUCCACCAAUUCUAAAUUUGCCUAACCAGCCUAAUGCUUCCCUACCCGCUCGACACAUAUCAUAUUCAACAUCAACAAUGAAUCAAAAUACCAUAAUAUUCACUUUUACCAAUUUCGAUUCUCGCCCCCAACUUUAUUUUUAUCAAUAAAUGAUUAACACAUGCUUCAAUUAUCAAUUCACUUUUCAACAUUUCAAAUCCAACAUCAACCAAUACACAAUCAAGAUUUAAACAUACCAAAAACAUAAAUCAUUCACGAUAACGUAAAAAUUAAAGCAAGAGAGAUAGAAUUGGACCUCAAUGUUACUUUUAUUUCAAUCCAUCAAAGUAUUUGAUUAGAGCUCCAACCGGAAUGCCUUGACCCGACCUCGACCAAUAAAAUCCAACUCAAUAUCAGAAAAUACCACUGGGAUAGAUUUAAAACCAGCGCAAACAACCUCACUACGAAUCCCGAAUCAUGAAUUCCAAAUUCGAAUUGCAUUUUACCUUAAUAAGAUCAUUUUUCCGUCUAUUUUUUACCCAAAAAUUGGAGUAGAUGGGGUGGGUGUGGUCGGAGUUGAUGUUGUUCCAUUUUUCUGGCGAAAUUUCACAAGAAUCGAGACUAAUGAUCAAUUUGGUUACUGAUUUUUGGUGGGUUACGAGAUGGAACCUGAGCUGUUGAUCCAAGGGGGCGUUUCUCGACAGAAGCUCACCGGAACUGACGUGAAUCGUCGGUGAAAUGCCAUUUCCGGUGAUACUUCGCCGGACUAUCUCAACACUCUUCUGUUUCUCUCUCAUGAUCUCCCUACGUCAAUCUCUCCUCACUCGAAUCUCUCUUCCUCUUCACUGUGCGUGUGUGGCUAAGUGUAUUAUCGUGUAUUUGUGAUGAAAAUUGGGGGUAUCACUGUGGGUGUAUUAUGAAGAAGGAAAAAGAAAUUAGAGUGCGUUGAUGAUAAGGUUGGUUUGUGCUCCCCCCUCAGUAGGUGAAUACAUAUAUUAUAUGUAAAGUCUUUUCUUUGUGUGAAUUGGUGGACCCCGU
rnacentral:lncRNA from 1 species